rnacentral:tRNA from 1 species
GCGAGGGUUGCCAAGCCAGGUCAAAGGCGUUGGAUUCAGGGUCCAAUCUCGUAGGAGUUCGGGGGUUCAAAUCCCUUCCCUCGCA